AUGGCUGAAGACUUGGUUAAAAGAUUAGUCAAAUAAAGGGUUGAAACAGAUCUUUAAAGUGUUCACAGCAAUUCGGCUUUCAUUUGUAAACAAAGAGCAGACAGCUAGGAAGAUGACACCAGCAGCGGCAGGCGGCGACAGGCAGUGUGACACCGUAGCCCUCCGCUCUGCCUGACAUGUGCUGCGUGCCACGCAACCAAACUCAAGUGGAACAUGCACUGUUACAUGUACCAGAUUAUCGGACACGCCUAACAAGUGUGGCGCCAUUCGUAAAGCAACAAAACUGCUUGUCUUGAAAGAAAGUCCAGUGACAGAGACAACCUUGGCCAGUGUUGUGUUCGCUUCCUGACAGGGCGGGGAUUGUGACCAGGAAUUUGUCCAGCUUCCUCUUUGCCUUGGAAAGUGCAUUCCUGGCUGAGUGUGGUGCGUGUGCCUGCUACUUGUGUGGUGGUGCUGCUGCUGCGUGAAGCCUCUGCCGUGGGAACCCACCACAAAUAGCUAAUGGAUUCUGUAUGACGGGAUCAGCAGCAGACAGAAUUCCAGUGAUGUAUUAACAUGCCUAGGGACAGCCUUGGGGGCAUCCAUUACUGGCAGAAGCUCGAGUGUGCUGAGUGACGGGGCAGC